CCAAAACUCUAUUUCCCCAAUUUCCUUUAUUUCUCUCUCUCUCUCGCUCUCGAUAUUUCCACCUGUGAGGCCGUUGUUCUUCAAUCUCUCGUUCGCUUCUCCUCUGUGACUGUAAAUCACUCGUCACUCCUCAGCUCUCUCUCUUUCUUCUCACUAACCACUCCUCUUGUGCGACUGUAAGUUUGUCUUUCCUUUUUCUGCUUAUUUUUUCCAUCUUCAAUUAUAAGGCACAAUCUUAAAUGGGUAACUUUAAUUUCAUUAGAAUGCACAAUCUUUAUGUAUUUUUAAUAUAUGUUUAUGUUGGAAUCUGUGGUUCUUCUCUGUAUUUUCUCUUCUUCUUCUUUUUUCUUUUUGUUUUUUGCCCGGUAGUUAUUUUAUUAAUAAUAGAAAAGAAAAGUGCAACAUAUAGGAAAAGUACAUAUAAGGGGGACAAUAGCACCAGUAGUGUUGCCUGUAUGCCUUCGCUAUAUAGUCACUCCUUUGCGCCUCACAUUGUCAUAUGAUGGCAGCCUCAUGUAGAGGAUUAUCGAUCUGCCGGCAAAGUCCCACGAGGGCAUAUAUUCUCAUAGCCAUUUGGAUGUCUUUCCAAAGGCAUAGGACAUGAGCAACCACAUACUGGGCCUAACCUUACCUUACUAAUCCCGUUGAGGAAUAAAUAUCCUCGCCUACUAACAAGCAUGUAAAAAGAAAGAGCUAGAGAGCAAUAAAUAUUCUAUGAUCAUCACAGAGUUUAUAACAUACUCCGUGAUGAUAUUACAAAUGACUAUACUAAUAAAAUGGUAAAAUAAGAUAUAGUAGGAAUUUGAUUCUUGUCCCUUGUUGCCCAAACUUGCAACUUCUUCAAUUUGUAGUUCUUGAUCAUCUUCAUCAAACCUCUUCAGAAUGUCUUCAAACUUCAUGACUUUUUUAUUGAACGUUUGGACCUUGUAGAUGUAGUUGGGGAUGCCUGUUUUUGUUUGGCAACUCUCAUUGGGAGUCGCCUAACGUUUACUUCCUCAUUCACAGAAAUAGUUGGAGUGGUUGUAACCAAAUGCUGUUGUCCAGCUUGUGUAGUCGUUACUGCAAUACAUGGUUGUAAAUGCUGCUGCUGCUGUCCAGCAUUUGGAGUUGAUAUUACUGCUUGUUGCGUGCUUGCAAUUUGCUUCUGCUGUUGAGCAACUGCUGGUGUUGUUGCAUAUUGACCAGACACAAAAGUAUCAGCUGGAAUGUUUGCAAAAAUCAGCUGUUGCCCAGUCCUUUUUGUUGCUCCAUUUUUCAUCCAGAUAGUACCUGCUUUGCUUGUUCCAAUAUGUUCCUGCCCAGAAUUUGGUGGGUUACUGCAUUGUGAAUGCAUGUAGUACCAGGAGACUUUCUAGGAAUGAAAUCUGGAGCAUCCAAAUUAAGCUUGCUCUUUAGUUUUCCAGUCGAAGUACUUUCAGUUUUUUGCGUCAGAUGGGCGUCCUUGAUAAUUUUUACCACGCGAGGGCUGGAAAACUGCAGCAUUGUACUGUUUUUUGAAGUUGCCUCAUGUUGAAGUACCUGGUCUUGCACGCCUGGAGAUCUCCUAUUUUUAG
rnacentral:lncRNA from 1 species